GCCAGGGAUAUCCAGGCGUGGGAGUACGUUCCUCUGGGUCCGUUUCUGGGGAAGAACUUUGGGACAACCAUCUCACCCUGGGUGGUUCCUAUGGAGGCCCUGCUGCCCUUCGCUGAGCCCAACACUGUCCAGGAUCCAAAGCCCCUCCCUUAUCUAUGCCAUGACGAUGCCUUCACCUUCAACAUUAACUUAUUUGUGUCAGUGAAAGGAGAGGCAAUGAAGGAAGCAGCCACUAUAUGCAAGUCCAACUUCAAGGUAAGCAGUUGGUGAAGUAGACUUUGGAUAGCUUACUACAGUUGUAUCAAUGUGCAGAGUUGUGGACUCGAGUCACAUGACUUGGACUCGACUUGAUAUAAAAUAA